ACCCAUCUGACGAGUUCCAAAUAGAAUGAAAUGCGUAUCUUGGAU
rnacentral:hammerhead_ribozyme from 1 species